rnacentral:misc_RNA from 1 species
GAUGAAGAACGUAGCGAAAUGCGAUAAGUAAUGCGAAUUGCAGAAUUUCCGUGAGUCAUCGAAUCUUUGAACGCACAUUGCGCCCGCCAGUAUUCUGGCGGGCAUGCCUGUUCGAGCGUCAUUUCAACCAUCAAGCCCCAGGCUUGUGUUGGGGACCUGCGGCUGCCGCAGGCCCUGAAAACCAGUGGCGGGCUCGCUGUCACACCGGGCGUAGUAGAUUUUAUCUCGCUCUGGGCGUGCUGCGGGUUCCGGCCGUUAAAAAACCCUUUUAACCCAAGGUUGACCUCGGAUCAGGUAGGAAUACCCGCUGAACUUAAGCAUAUCAAUAAGCGGAGGA